rnacentral:rRNA from 1 species
AACGAACGCUGGCGGCAUGCCUAACACAUGCAAGUCGAACGAGACCUUCGGGUCUAGUGGCGCACGGGUGCGUAACGCGUGGGAACCUGCCCUUAGGUUCGGAAUAACUCCCCGAAAGGGGUGCUAAUACCGGAUAAUGUCUUCGGACCAAAGAUUUAUCGCCUUUGGAUGGGCCCGCGUUGGAUUAGCUAGUUGGUAGGGUAAAAGCCUACCAAGGCGACGAUCCAUAGCUGGUCUGAGAGGAUGAUCAGCCACACUGGGACUGAGACACGGCCCAGACUCCUACGGGAGGCAGCAGUGGGUAAUAUUGGACACUGGGCGAAAGCCUGAUCCAGCAAUGCCGCGUGAGUGAUGAAGGCCUUAGGGUUGUAAAGCUCUUUUACCCGGGAUGAUAAUGACAGUACCGGGAGAAUAAGCUCCGGCUAACUCCGUG